UACGUAGGGUGAGAGCGUUGUCCGGAAUUACUGGGCGUAAAGAGCUCGUAGGUGGUUUGUCGCGUUGUUCGUGAAAACUCACAGCUCAACUGUGGGCGUGCGGGCGAUACGGGCAGACUGGAGUACUGCAGGGGAGACUGGAAUUCCUGGUGUAGCGGUGAAAUGCGCAGAUAUCAGGAGGAACACCGGUGGCGAAGGCGGUUCUCUGGGCAUGUCCUGACGCUGAGGAGCGAAAGUGUGGGGAGCGAACAGG
rnacentral:rRNA from 1 species